rnacentral:rRNA from 1 species
AGUGAACGCUGGCGGUAGGCCUAACACAUGCAAGUCGAACGGCAGCACAGUAAGAGCUUGCUCUUACGGGUGGCGAGUGGCGGACGGGUGAGGAAUACAUCGGAAUCUACUUUUUCGUGGGGGAUAACGUAGGGAAACUUACGCUACUACCGCAUACGACCUACGGGUGAAAGCAGGGGAUCUUCGGACCUUGCGCGAUUGAAUGAGCCGCUGUCGGAUUAGCUAGUUGGCGGGGUAAAGGCCCACCAAGGCGACGAUCCGUAGCUGGUCUGAGAGGAUGAUCAGCCACACUGGAACUGAGACACGGUCCAGACUCCUACGGGAGGCAGCAGUGGGGAAUAUUGGACAAUGGGCGCAAGCCUGAUCCAGCCAUACCGCGUGGGUGAAGAAGGCCUUCGGGUUGUAAAGCCCUUUUGUUGGGAAAGAAAAGCAGCAGGUUAAUACCCCGCUGUUCUGACGGUACCCAAAGAAUAAGCACCGGCUAACUUCGUG